rnacentral:rRNA from 1 species
UACGUAGGGGGCAAGCGUUGUCCGGAAUCAUUGGGCGUAAAGAGCGUGUAGGCGGCCCGAUAAGUCCGCCGUGAAAGUCCAGGGCUCAACCCUGGAAUGCCGGUGGAAACUGUCGGGCUGGAGUCCGGAAGAGGCGAGUGGAAUUCCUGGUGUAGCGGUGAAAUGCGCAGAUAUCGGGAGGAACACCUAUGGCGAAGGCAGCUCGCUGGGACGUUACUGACGCUGAGACGCGAAAGCGUGGGGAGCAAACAGG